GGGGAAUAUUGCGCAAUGGGCGAAAGCCUGACGCAGCGACGCCGCGUGAGGGACGAAGGUCUUCGGAUUGUAAACCUCUUUCAGCAGGGACGAAGCGAAAGUGACUGUACCUGCAGAAGAAGCACCGGCUAACUACGUGCCAGCAGCCGCGGUAAUACGUAGGGUGCAAGCGUUGUCCGGAUUUAUUGGGCGUAAAGAGCUCGUAGGCGGUCUGUCGCGUCGGAUGUGAAAACCCAAUGGCUUAACCUUGGGCCUGCAUUCGAUACGGGCAGACUAGAGUGUGGUAGGGGAAACUGGAAUUCCUGGUGUAGCGGUGGAAUGCGCAGAUAUCAGGAGGAACACCGAUGGCGAAGGCAGGUUUCUGGGCCAUAACUGACGCUGAGGAGCGAAAGCGUGGGGAGCAAAC
rnacentral:rRNA from 1 species